GGAGCAUGAGGAAACAGUGGUAAAGUAAGGGAAACGGAGUUGUCUUAAAACUUAGGCUGCUCCCACAUUACAGAAAGGGGAUGGUGGGUGGAUAAAUUUCAUGCAUUAGCAAUACAAAACCUUUGCAUCAACAGCUAAACAUAAAGUAAAUGAGUUUCCAAGCAACCUGGGGAAAUAUUAGACUGGAAUAACCACAGCUUAUCUCAUAACCAAACGAAGACAGUACACAAAUGCCUGAAGACGAGGAACACCUCUACACAUAGAUGAUGUCUUAAAUGAUAAUGCUUAUGAUGAUUAGGAGAACUUUUAUUAAAACAUUGAUCAAUAAACAACAAAACAGAUGGGGCAAACCCUGCCAGACAUGUACAACACACAAACAUUCCAUACAUAUAAUUAUAGUUGUCUUAUUGAUACAGACCAAACCACAAAAACAUAUUGCCUAAUGAACCAUGAAAAAGGUUGAGGUCAGUUGAAAUAUGCCAUAUGAUAAUGUUCACCUUAUAAACAUUUCAUACACCAAUAAAAUUGAGAAUGGAAAUGGGGAAUGUGUUAAAGACAACCCAACCAAGAGCAGAAAACAGUGGAAGGUCACCAUGCAAUGGGUCUUAAAUAGUGAGAAAAUCCCACACCCAAAGUGGCUUCAGCUGGCC
rnacentral:lncRNA from 1 species